UUCAUAUCUGCGGGAAAUCAAUCAAUAUAACUGAACAGUUCUUCUCAGCAUAGAUGCAAAACACAAACUGACGGACUGAUCUUAAGGGACACGCAAUUGACUGCCACAAGGCGACGAUAUUUUUUUGUGGCACGACUGCACACUAAACUCAUCGUCCGGUGUCGUACAUCUCAUGGGCCGUCGCCUGCGACAUAGAGUAAAAUAUGUUAAAUGGUUAAUAACUCGAGUGAAUUGCAUCCAAACCAAACUUGAUCGCAUAUCUCAAAGGACGAAUUUUGGAUGCCAGCAGGAGAAGCAUAAAAAAUAAUACUGCAGUAGCUAUCAAUACAAUGAUGUAAGGGUAAAUCACGACCUUUUUAUCUUCUGAAAAUAUCAAGAUUGCAUUAUAAGUACUUCUAAUGAGUAUCUUAGAAAUGAUAUGAGUUUACCGCAACAAUUAUGGUUUAUGUUACAAACAUAUCCCACUUCGAUUAAUUCGCAAUUUUCCGCUCUGCCGCGUCUAAAUACCUUUAGGGUGGCAGAGUACAUGACAUAUAAAGGCAGGACCAUAAGGACAUAAUGUAAAUAUACAAAGCUCUCCUUAUGCUGGUGCGAGUUUGUAAAGACAGCCAAAAAAACUAAAAUUAAGAUAAAUUAAACAAAAAUUAAUCUAGCUCAUAUUUGUGUAUUUCAUCAACCACCUUAACCAAUCUGUAUGUAUAAAAUCCUAAAACAAGAUGUACACCCAACUUGAUGUAAAAGUUCUUGCUCAGGUCAACAACUUUCCAAAAAUGCAAAACAAUAAAACUUAACUAGAGCUAAGCCUUCGGAAUUAACAGAAAUGUCUAUGAUAAUAUAUCACAAAUAGUGACCCGAAAAUUUUGUUUAAUCGGACAGUAAAUACCGAAGAAUAAAUUCGCGCAAUGGGAAGCGUUUUAGGGUAAGCUAGACUUUGCGUGUUUCGUAGUCUACAACUACUACUCUAUGUAUCUAUGCAAAUUAAUUUGAAAAAUAAAAUUAGUAACAUAUUUUCUUAUAGAUAUUUGAGAUA